UAGGGAAUCUUCCACAAUGGACGCAAGUCUGAUGGAGCAACGCCGCGUGAGUGAAGAAGGUUUUCGGAUCGUAAAGCUCUGUUGUUGGUGAAGAAGGAUAGAGGCAGUAACUGGUCUUUAUUUGACGGUAAUCAACCAGAAAGUCACGGCUAACUACGUGCCAGCAGCCGCAGUAAUACGUAGGUGGCAAGCGUUGUCCGGAUUUAUUGGGCGUAAAGCGAGCGCAGGCGGAAUGAUAAGUCUGAUGUGAAAGCCCACGGCUCAACCGUGGAACUGCAUCGGAAACUGUCAUUCUUGAGUGCAGAAGAGGAGAGUGGAAUUCCAUGUGUAGCGGUGGAAUGCGUAGAUAUAUGGAAGAACACCAGUGGCGAAGGCGGCUCUCUGGUCUGCAACUGACGCUGAGGCUCGAAAGCAUGGGUAGCGAACAGGA
rnacentral:rRNA from 1 species